rnacentral:rRNA from 1 species
UACGAAGGGGGCUAGCGUUGCUCGGAAUCACUGGGCGUAAAGCGCACGUAGGCGGCUUCUUAAGUCAGGGGUGAAAUCCUGGAGCUCAACUCCAGAACUGCCCUUGAUACUGAGGAGCUCGAGUCCGGAAGAGGUGAGUGGAACUGCGAGUGUAGAGGUGAAAUUCGUAGAUAUUCGCAAGAACACCAGUGGCGAAGGCGGCUCACUGGCCCGGUACUGACGCUGAGGUGCGAAAGCGUGGGGAGCGAACAGG